rnacentral:rRNA from 1 species
UACGUAGGGGGCUAGCGUUGUCCGGAAUCAUUUGGGCGUAAAGCGCGUGUAGGCGGUCCGGUAAGUCCGCUGUGAAAGUCGGAGGGCUCAACCCUCGAAUGCCGGUGGAUACUGUCGGGCUUGAGUACGGGAGAGGCGAGUGGAAUUUCCUGGUGUAGCGGUGAAAUGCGCAGAUAUCAGGAGGAACACCGAUUGCGAAGGCAGCUCGCUGGGACGUAACUGACGCUGAGACGCGAAAGCGUGGGGAGCAAACAGG